rnacentral:rRNA from 1 species
AAUUUUGGAAAUGGGGGCAACCCUGAUCCAGCAAUGCCGCGUGAGUGAAGAAGGCCUUCGGGUUGUAAAGCUCUUUUGUCAGGGAAGAAACGGUUCUGGCUAAUACCUGGAACUAAUGACGGUACCUGAAGAAUAAGCACCGGCUAACUACGUGCCAGCAGCCGCGGUAAUAA